CAUAAGACGCCUCUUUCUCCAAGUUUGAACCCACAAAAUUUCUCUGUAUUUUCAGCCUUGAAAAAUCCGACGACGGCCUGCUCAGGCGAAAUAAGGGAGUUUCCGGCGAAUGACGGCCUGCUCCGGUUAAUGUAACGCAAUCUCCGAUGUAGGCUGUUGGUGUUUUCACCUGUUCGAUGUUUGUAUGGUUGUUCGCUGAGCACUGAAAUUGUUCGCUGCUUCUUUCGAUCUGCUUUCUUCUCUGCUGUUUAUGUGACGGUUUUGGUGACUGCUGGCAACCAACUUUGCAAUCAAUCCGUCGUCCAUCUACUGAUAGCAACAAAGAAGGCCAACUCAUUCCAGGUGCAGCGAUUGCCGAUGAAAGCAGUGACGAAGACCUUACUUGAGUGUUGUUGAUCGUUGUUAGACUUUCUAUUAUUAUGUUUAAGGAUAUUUCAGUUUAGAACUUUUUGUAUGCAAACUCAUCUAUUUUGACUUUUGAAUAGUUGACCAAACAGUGUAUCCAUAUUUUAUUUUUGACAUGGAUAAUGCUAGUUGGAUAUGGUGUAAACAAUUUCAUAGAAUAGGAAAAUAUUUUUUAUUUUGCUUC